ensembl:lncRNA TGFB2-OT1 TGFB2 overlapping transcript 1
UUCUUUCAUUAUUAUGACAUAAGCUACCUGGGUCCACUUGUCUUUUCUUUUUUUUGUUUCACAGAAAAGAUGGGUUCGAGUUCAGUGGUCUUCAUCUUCCAAGCAUCAUUACUAACCAAGUCAGACGUUAACAAAUUUUUAUGUUAGGAAAAGGAGGAAUGUUAUAGAUACAUAGAAAAUUGAAGUAAAAUGUUUUCAUUUUAGCAAGGAUUUAGGGUUCUAACUAAAACUCAGAAUCUUUAUUGAGUUAAGAAAAGUUUCUCUACCUUGGUUUAAUCAAUAUUUUUGUAAAAUCCUAUUGUUAUUACAAAGAGGACACUUCAUAGGAAACAUCUUUUUCUUUAGUCAGGUUUUUAAUAUUCAGGGGGAAAUUGAAAGAUAUAUAUUUUAGUCGAUUUUUCAAAAGGGGAAAAAAGUCCAGGUCAGCAUAAGUCAUUUUGUGUAUUUCACUGAAGUUAUAAGGUUUUUAUAAAUGUUCUUUGAAGGGGAAAAGGCACAAGCCAAUUUUUCCUAUGAUCAAAAAAUUCUUUCUUUCCUCUGAGUGAGAGUUAUCUAUAUCUGAGGCUAAAGUUUACCUUGCUUUAAUAAAUAAUUUGCCACAUCAUUGCAGAAGAGGUAUCCUCAUGCUGGGGUUAAUAGAAUAUGUCAGUUUAUCACUUGUCGCUUAUUUAGCUUUAAAAUAAAAAUUAAUAGGCAAAGCAAUGGAAUAUUUGCAGUUUCACCUAAAGAGCAGCAUAAGGAGGCGGGAAUCCAAAGUGAAGUUGUUUGAUAUGGUCUACUUCUUUUUUGGAAUUUCCUGACCAUUAAUUAAAGAAUUGGAUUUGCAAGUUUGAAAACUGGAAAAGCAAGAGAUGGGAUGCCAUAAUAGUAAACAGCCCUUGUGUUGGAUGUAACCCAAUCCCAGAUUUGAGUGUGUGUUGAUUAUUUUUUUGUCUUCCACUUUUCUAUUAUGUGUAAAUCACUUUUAUUUCUGCAGACAUUUUCCUCUCAGAUAGGAUGACAUUUUGUUUUGUAUUAUUUUGUCUUUCCUCAUGAAUGCACUGAUAAUAUUUUAAAUGCUCUAUUUUAAGAUCUCUUGAAUCUGUUUUUUUUUUUUUUAAUUUGGGGGUUCUGUAAGGUCUUUAUUUCCCAUAAGUAAAUAUUGCCAUGGGAGGGGGGUGGAGGUGGCAAGGAAGGGGUGAAGUGCUAGUAUGCAAGUGGGCAGCAAUUAUUUUUGUGUUAAUCAGCAGUACAAUUUGAUCGUUGGCAUGGUUAAAAAAUGGAAUAUAAGAUUAGCUGUUUUGUAUUUUGAUGACCAAUUACGCUGUAUUUUAACACGAUGUAUGUCUGUUUUUGUGGUGCUCUAGUGGUAAAUAAAUUAUUUCGAUGAUA